GAUGAACGCUGGCGGCGUGCUUAACACAUGCAAGUCGAGCGAGAAGAGUUCUUCGGAGCUUUUCUAGCGGCGGACGGGUGAGUAACACGUGGGCAACCUGCCUCAUAGAGGGGAAUAGCCUUCCGAAAGGAAGAUUAAUACCGCAUAAUAUUGUUGAAAGGCAUCUUUUAACAAUCAAAGGAGCAAUCCGCUAUGAGAUGGGCCCGCGGCGCAUUAGCUAGUUGGUGAGGUAACGGCUCACCAAGGCGACGAUGCGUAGCCGACCUGAGAGGGUGAUCGGCCACAUUGGAACUGAGACACGGUCCAGACUCCUACGGGAGGCAGCAGUGGGGAGUAUUGCACAAUGGGGGAAACCCUGAUGCAGCAACGCCGCGUGAGUGAUGAAGGUCUUCGGAUUGUAAAGCUCUGUCUUUAGGGACGAUAAUGACGGUACCUAAGGAGGAAGCCACGGCUAACUACGUGCCAGCCGCCGCAGUAAUAC
rnacentral:rRNA from 1 species